UCUGCGCAAUUAACGAAGAGUUACCUCAGCUUUAGCGAGGUCUCCGAGUUAGCGCUGGAGACAAAAAUGCAGCGCACCUGGCCCAGCCAGGCUUGAACUUCUCCCACACAAUAGGAUAUUAAAACAUCCUCAAGAUUCCAAACAAAUGUUUUAAAGACUCAGCAAAACUUAAUUCAGCAGAGAAGCCAUCAAGACCCAGACUUUUCUUAGUUGGAAUUUCAUGCUGUUCUGUGAUUUGAAUGUGGAACUUAAAGACAAAGAUAAGAGAAUACUUUUUGGUUUCUUUACUCAUUUAUAAACUGUUAUGUCACCCGUCAGUUUCUUCAGAAGCAAACAAUGACACUACAUUUGAUGGGCAAGGUGAUUGUGAAAA